rnacentral:rRNA from 1 species
UACAGCGGGUGCGAGCGUUAAUCGGAAUUACUGGGCGUAAAGCGUGCGUAGACGGUAGCGUAAGUCAGUUGUGAAAGCCCCGGGCUCAACCUGGGAAUUGCAUUCGAGACUGCUCUGCUAGGGUGCGGAAGAGGGAAGCGGAAUUUCCGGUGUAGCGGUGAAAUGCGUAGAUAUCGGAAGGAACACCAGUGGCGAAAGCGGCUUCCUGGUCCAGCACCGACGUUCAGGCACGAAAGCGUGGGGAGCAAUCAGG